rnacentral:rRNA from 1 species
CACGUAGGGCGCAAGCGUUGUCCGGAAUUAUUGGGCGUAAAGAGCUCGUAGGCGGUCUGUUACGUCUGCUGUGAAAACCCUGGGCUUAACCUUGGGCUUGCAGUGGGUACGGGCAGACUAGAGUGCGGUAGGGGUGACUGGAAUUCCUGGUGUAGCGGUGGAAUGCGCAGAUAUCAGGAGGAACACCGAUGGCGAAGGCAGGUCACUGGGCCGCAACUGACGCUGAGGAGCGAAAGCAUGGGGAGCGAACAGG